GCGAGGGUGGCCGAGUCUGGAAAAGGCGGCGGACUCAAGAUCCGCUCUCGUAGGAGUCCGUGGGUUCAAAUCCCUCCCCUCGCA
rfam:Haloquadratum walsbyi DSM 16790 complete genome